UGCGACAUGUAAAAACCCCAUCCCCCUUUUUUACAAAAUACUCAAUAACUCAAAAAUGGAUUUUUGAAUCAUCACCAAAAAGUAUACAGAUCUUUAGAUUAAUAUAACUAAGAAGUGUGUAAAGUUUUAAGCAAUAAUCAAAUCAUAAAUCGUUUAUGAGAUUUGGCGCAACAUGUGAAACCCCCCCCCUCCCUUUUAAAAAAA
rnacentral:lncRNA from 1 species